UUCCUGUUGGUGUUGCUGAGCUUAGUUGCGGGUUACUUUUCUGAAGCCUCCAUCGCAGCUGGUAGGUGUUUACUCAUUGUAGUGUAUAUAUUACUUUGCUUGAUGGUAAACAGCUAUUGUUUGUAGGUCGUAGCUGUAGAAGCCUCCUCUGAGCCAUUCUGCUUACGUUUUAUGACACGGCUUACUUGAUGCGGAGUGCUGACGUGGAGGAGACUAGGGUGCCUUGGUGGUGGGAUCCUCUGAGUGUACACACCUGCCUUGUUUAAUUUAUUAGUG